AGUCACCUCACGUAGUGACUAACUGAGCAGUUGAGGGUUAAGGAUGUUGUUCAAGGACUCAGUGGCUCUCGGGCAGCCCUUGGAUUGGAGCUCAUUCAAUCCUAACCAGUGCGUGAGUACUGCCUGGGUUCAAACACAAGACCUGUAGUUUUUCCUCACUUGCUUGUCGUCUGAUCUCCACAGCAUUACAGUGUAUUUUUCCUGCUUGGGUGGAAAAAUUUGCUAAGACCCCCCCUUCAAUCCCAUCCCCCCACUCUCUUUGAUUACAGGCAUGCAGUGAGAUUAUGCCAUUAAUGUGUGUGUGAAAGUUUUGGGUUUGGGACUUUACACCAACUUUGUCCUUCCAUCCUUAAGACAACUUCAACUACUCUUCAACAUCUGCAUGGGGAUUGUGCACUGAGACCCUUGUAUAAAAAAAAACAAACAAAAAAAAACAACUGUACCUCUUAAAAAAAAAAAAAAAGGAAAAAAAAGCCUCGGUGUGUGGGCGUUUGCUUUCGCCUCAGUAAGCCCUGUCAGGUUCCAGAAAAAUGGCCCUGCUUGAAUGAAGUGAGCCGAACAGAAGGGGUUCGAGUGAAGCCACGAAUAAAAGAAGUGCUGUGUGCAAACAUAUUGUUCAUUAUAGUUUUAUGCAACGCACUCCAUUAUAAUGUUGCUCUGUUGUUUGCUUGUCAUGUUUUCGUGUUCUACAGCUCACAGAAACAAUGAUUCAUCCUCAUGUGUUUGGUUAUAUAAUUACCAUGAAGCCAGGGUUGAUUAUUUACAGCGUAACUGUGGAGGUGUUAUUCUCUGCACUGACAGGAAAUACACAGUACACAGAACCUCAUAGACACUUCACUAAUAUAGGUAGGCAGUACACCUGAGUCAUACUAUUACAACCUUCAAACUAAAACAUUUACUUUUAAUCAUUAAAGCUAGACACUAGCAAGUGGACCAAAUUUAGCUGAUACUAAAUACGAGGGUCCGUCGCAGCGUUAGCAGACGUGCAAACGUUGCAGAGAUUCAUGCGUCUUAAUAUCGGAGUGUAUGGACGUAACUGGGAUUAAGCUGUACGCCAUGAAUUUACGAGUUAAUAAUGGGUUUAAUGGUCGUCAAAGUGAUGCUUAAAAUUUUUUCCAGAACUUUCUUUUUCAUUUUGAUAGCUUGGUCUUCAUGAAGCUUUGUUUGUUUAGGUAUGUUCUUUCCAAACAUAGCCCAGUUUUAUGGACUAUGUCGUGUAGAUUCACGACAUGGGGGCAGUGGUGGCUUAGCAGUUAAGGCUCUGGGUUACUGAUCGGAAGGUCGGGGGUUCAAGCCCCAGCACUGCCAAGUUGCCACCGUUGGGCCCUUGAGCAAGGCCCUUAACCCUCUCUGCUCCAGGGGGCACCGUGUCAUGGCUGACCCUGCACUCUGACCCCAAAUUCCUGACAUGCUGGAGUAUGCGAAGAAAACAAUUUUCACUGUGCUCUACUGUAUAUGCGACCAAUAAAGACUCAUCAUUAUUAUAUAAUAAUCCUGAUUAAGUCCAUUUCAGUUCCUGGUUGUAACACUACAAAAUGUGCGAAAGUGAAUAUGUAUGCAAGGCAGAAUAAAGUGCUAAGUGUCGGACGCUCAUUUGCUACUUAAAAUCGGCUUACGGGUGAGGCAAACCAAAAAAAGUACAAAAUAAUUCCUCCUCCAUCAGCAACGUACACACAUCCUCUGCCGACUCAAAGGGCAAAUAAUGUCAGUUGUUGUGAGAGAUUCAGGCCAUGAAGCAGUGGCCGAGCAACCUCGUCCUGUCAGACACACUCAGAGCCAUGUUCCCGCUGAGGAAGUGGGCCAGAUCACAGUAUGGAGCAGUGUGUUACAUCUACAGCUAGCAGACCAACCUCAGACUGGAGACGUGAGAUAACAGACUCCGCUGUGUUCACGGAGAAAGCAAACGGCUACAUGCUGACGUUCCAAGCUCCGGUGAAAAAAAAAAAGUCAAGGUGCUUCAAGCUUUGUUGUUGUUUUGGUGAGACAUCUCCAAGAGCUGGGAGAUGUUUCUGCAUCUGCUACAUACGUUAUAUGUCUGAUUCCCAUAUCCUGUGUAAAUGUUCAUGUAUAAUAAUGAAUCCUGGCUCGAAACCAAUAAAUACACAUGUGCCAGAGAGUACACGUUAGUAAGUAUAAGCGUCUGUGAAUGUCUUUAGCCAACAAAUGAAGGUCAUUUGGUAUUAA
ensembl:lncRNA